rnacentral:rRNA from 1 species
AUUGAACGCUGGCGGCAGGCCUAACACAUGCAAGUCGAACGGUAACAGAAAGCAGCUUGCUGCUUUGCUGACGAGUGGCGGACGGGUGAGUAAUGUCUGGGAAACUGCCUGAUGGAGGGGGAUAACUACUGGAAACGGUAGCUAAUACCGCAUAACGUCGCAAGACCAAAGAGGGGGACCUUCGGGCCUCUUGCCAUCGGAUGUGCCCAGAUGGGAUUAGCUAGUAGGUUGGGUAACGGCUCACCUAGGCGACGAUCCCUAGCUGGUCUGAGAGGAUGACCAGCCACACUGGAACUGAGACGCGGUCCAGACUCCUACGGGAGGCAGCAGUGGGGAAUAUUGCACAAUGGGCGCAAGCCUGAUGCAGCCAUGCCGCGUGUAUGAAGAAGGCCUUCGGAUUGUAAAGUACUUUCAGCGGGGAGGAAGGGAGUAAAGUUAAUACCUUUGCUCAUUGACGUUACCCGCAGAAGAAGCACCGGCUAACUCCGUG